ACGGAGAGUUUGAUCCUGGCUCAGGAUGAACGCUGGCGGCGUGCUUAACACAUGCAAGUCGAACGAACCUUCGGGUUAGUGGCGGACGGGGGAGUAACGCGUGAGAAUCUGCCCUCAGGAGGGGGAUAACGGCUGGAAACGGCCGCUAAUACCCCAUAUGCCGCGAGGUGAAAUGAAUUUCGCCUGAGGAUGAGCUCGCGUCUGAUUAGCUAGUUGGUGGGGUAAAGGCCUACCAAGGCGACGAUCCAUAGCUGGUCUGAGAGGACGAUCAGCCACACUGGAACUGAGACACGGUCCAGACUCCUACGGGAGGCAGCAGCUGAG
rnacentral:rRNA from 1 species